UGUUUUCUUAUGCUUUCGACAGUGUGCGGGUCUUCUCCCAUCGCUAUCCAGCGCGAAGACAAUCCAUUUAAGAAAUGUGUACGUCUAAUUUCUGCAGGUUUACCUCUUCUUCUUUUUGUUAAUUUUUUCAUGCCUAAAUUUUACAUUAUCACCAGGUUUACCUCUUCUUCUUUUUGUUAAUUUUUUCAUGCCUAAAUUUUACAUUAUCACCUUAUAGUUAUGCUUCUCUGUUUUCUCAUGCUUUUGACAGUGUGUGGGUCUGAACACCUUAUAGCUGGAUUGAACAGGAGGAAGAGAAAAUUUAUUUGGAAACAUCGAUCAGGCAAACUUGAAAGCACGAUUUUUUAUUUGCAUAUUGGCCAUCUGAUUGUUUAUAUGCUCAUUCCUCUUUGUUUACUUGAUUGCUUCUUAUGAUUGUGUUUUCAGUUAAAAAACUUGUGCCUCCAUUUUCCAAAGAUCACAUUGAUUUGUUGAAAGGUAGAUGUUUUUAGCCUUCGUUCACGGUGUAACAUACAGUUACUACACCAGCAUCCUCGGGAAAGUCAUUAGACGAAACGCCCACUUCACAAAGCAAGAAGAGACAACAAAACAAGGACGGACUCUCACCACCUGAUCGUAAAAAGAGCCACGUCGCCAAGCAGUAAUUCACCUUCGAAAGUGAUCAAGAAAAAGAAAGUGAUCAAGAAAAAGCUGAAGCUGGUCAAGAG